rnacentral:tRNA from 1 species
GGAUUGUGUCUCAGUGGUAGAGCGCUUGCCUAACAUGUGUGAGGCACUGGGUUCAAUUCUCAGCACCA